UCAAGACAAAGUAAAGUUGGAUACCAGUAUUUAGAAGACUAGAGAAUCUGUUCAAGUCAGGACUCUUGCAGCUGUACAUUCGAAACAGCUCCACAGCCCAAACUGCUGUAACUGUACAAAUUAGUUACCAGCGCAUGGAGAAUUUAGG